AUUGAACGCUGGCGGCAGGCUUAACACAUGCAAGUCGAGCAGGGUGAUGGUGCUUGCACUAUCACUUAGCGGCGGACGGGUGAGUAAUGCUUAGGAAUCUGCCUAUUAGUGGGGGACAACAUCUCGAAAGGGAUGCUAAUACCGCAUACGUCCUACGGGAGAAAGCAGGGGAUCACUUGUGACCUUGCGCUAAUAGAUGAGCCUAAGUCGGAUUAGCUAGUUGGUGGGGUAAAGGCCUACCAAGGCGACGAUCUGUAGCGGGUCUGAGAGGAUGCUCCGCCACACUGGGAGUGAGACACGGCCCAGAAUCCUACGGGAGGCAGCAGUGGGGAAUAUUGGACAAUGGGGGGAACCCUGAUCCAGCCAUGCCGCGUGUGUGAAGAAGGCCUUAUGGUUGUAAAGCACUUUAAGCGAGGAGGAGGCUCUUUUGGUUAAUACCCAAGAUGAGUGGACGUUACUCGCAGAAUAAGCACCGGCUAACUCUGUGCCAGCCGCCGCCGUAA
rnacentral:rRNA from 1 species